rnacentral:rRNA from 1 species
UACGAAGGGGGCUAGCGUUGCUCGGAAUCACUGGGCGUAAAGCGCACGUAGGCGGAUCUUUAAGUCAGGGGUGAAAUCCUGGAGCUCAACUCCAGAACUGCCCUUGAUACUGGCGGUCUCGAGUCCGGGAGAGGUGAGUGGAACUGCGAGUGUAGAGGUGAAAUUCGUAGAUAUUCGCAAGAACACCAGUGGCGAAGGCGGCUCACUGGCCCGAUACUGACGCUGAGGAGCGAAAGCCAGGGGAGCAAACGGG